rnacentral:sRNA from 1 species
GACAGGCGUGGGGGUGCAUGCCUGUAAUCCCAGCAGCUCAGGAGACUGAGGCAGGAGGAUCACAAGUUCAAAGACAGCCGCAGCAAAAGUGGGGCACUAAGGAACUCAGUGAGAUACUGUCUCUA